CAAAACAAACUGGACAACUCUCAAGUUUAGGUUUACCAAAGUUAUUGUCUCAUAUCAGUGUCGGAAAUACAUUAUAAAGCCCUUACAAUGACUAUUAAAGGUAACUUAACAGAGAGAUAUGCAACACCUGAACCUGGAAACACCAUAAAUCAACCCAAAAUAGGCAUUACUUUUUUUCCUUAAAAAAUAUACAAUAUAUUGACUAUAUGCACAAGAUUUGUUCCCCAGCCAAGCCUUCGAUUCUAAAUUCUAUAGCUGAUCAAUUUUUAAGAGAACAUACGAUCAGGAAAAAAAUCCAUGAACAAAUGUAAAGAAGUGCAAGCACUUCAUGAUAUUCUCAGCAGAAGAU